rnacentral:rRNA from 1 species
UGAACUCGCUGUGAAGAUGCAGUGUACCCGCGGCAAGACGGAAAGACCCCGUGAACCUUUACUAUAGCUUGACACUGAACAUUGAGCCUUGAUGUGUAGGAUAGGUGGGAGGCUUUGAAGCGUGGACGCCAGUCUGCGUGGAGCCGACCUUGAAAUACCACCCUUUAAUGUUUGAUGUUCUAACGUGGACCCGUGAUCCGGGUUGCGGACAGUGUCUGGUGGGUAGUUUGACUGGGGCGGUCUCCUCCUAAAGAGUAACGGAGGAGCACGAAGGUUGGCUAAUCCUGGUCGGACAUCAGGAGGUUAGUGCAAUGGCAUAAGCCAGCUUGACUGCGAGCGUGACGGCGCGAGCAGGUGCGAAAGCAGGUCAUAGUGAUCCGGUGGUUCUGAAUGGAAGGGCCAUCGCUCAACGGAUAAAAGGUACUCCGGGGAUAACAGGCUGAUACCGCCCAAGAGUUCAUAUCGACGGCGGUGUUUGGCACCUCGAUGUCGGCUCAUCACAUCCUGGGGCUGAAGUAGGUCCCAAGGGUAUGGCUGUUCGCCAUUUAAAGUGGUACGCGAGCUGGGUUUAGAACGUCGUGAGACAGUUCGGUCCCUAUCUGCCGUGGGCGCUGGAGAACUGAGGGGGGCUGCUCCUAGUACGAGAGGACCGGAGUGGACGCAUCACUGGUGUUCGGGUUGUCAUGCCAAUGGCACUGCCCGGUAGCUAAAUGCGGAAGAGAUAAGUGCUGAAAGCAUCUAAGCACGAAACUUGCCCCGAG